CCAAGCAAGUGUGGAUCAGGUAUUAUCCAAAGGUUGCACUUAAAAAGUACUUCUCCAAUGAAUGGAGUCACUUGAUUGCUUCAUUUAAAGGCUAUCACAAUGGUACACCUCUAAAGGUGAAAGAAUGUGGAGUCUAUCUUAUAUAUGCUCGAUCUGAUCAACAUUAUAAUCUUCUUGCUGAAAGCCUUGAUGAUGCAGGAUCAAUUGUAGUUGAAAGUGAUAGCUUUGAUGUAGGUCAGCAACCAUGCCUUGAAGAUUGAGAAGAUCCACCAAUGAUCAUGGUUAAGCUUCUGCUCCUGAAAAGUUCUCUCUGAAUACUUCAAGACUUACUGGAUGCAAAACGCUUAGGAGUCUUCCAAGUAGCAUUUGUGAGUUGAAAUGUCUUGAACAUCAAGUGUUCUGGCUGUUCAAACCUAGAGAGGUUUCCAGAAAUUACAGGGAAGAUGGAAAUUUUGAAAGAGCUUCAUUUGGAUGAGACAACUAUAAAAGAGCUACCUUCAUCAAUUGGACAUCUGAUAGUGCUUGAAGUUUUCAAUUUGGCACGUUGCAAAAGCCUUAGCCUUGAAGGUUUUCCUGAUAGUAUUAGAGUUGGAAUCAAGGAGCUGUUUGUCUUGUCCAGAGAACGAUCCAUUUUCCAAUGUCACCAGGGGAUUUAAUAUUCUGACUUCUGGAAGUUGAGCAAUUCUGAAGUGGUUCAGUUAUCAGAAAGGAAGUGCAGUAACAAUAGAGCUUCCUAUGAAUUGGUACAAGGAUAAGGGGUUUCUAGGAUUUGCUUUAUGUACGGUCUAUGUUCAACUUGAUGCUGAAUCUUGCCAUGAAUUUGAGAAGCAAUCUGAGAAUAAGUUUAAUGAUAAAUCUUAGAAGGAAUAUGCUCAUACACCUAAGAAUGAAUCUGAUGAUGAAUUUGAGAGUUCCCCAAUUGAUGCAACAUACACUUAUCGUUUAGAAUGUAAAUUGACUGAUCAAAUUGGAGGGGUAGAUUUUCUUGCAUUUGCACCACCCCUUUGUGAAUGCUACUUUAAUGGUGGUUCAUCCAAGCAAGUGUGGAUAAGGUAUUAUCCAAAGGUUGCGCUUAAAAAGAAGUACCUCUCCAAUGAAUGGGGUCACUUGACUGCUUCAUUUAAAGGCUAUCACAGUGGAAUACCUCUAAAGGUGAAAGAAUGUGGAGUUCAUCUUAUAUAUGCUUGAUCUGAUCAACAUGAUAAUCUUCUUGCCGAAAGCCUUGAUCAUGAAGGACCAAUUGGAGUUGAAAGUGAUAGCUUUGAGGUAGGUCAGCAACCAUGCCUUGAAGGUUGAGAAGAUCCACCAAUGACCAUGGUUAAGCUUCCGCUCCUGAAAAGUUCUCUCUGAAUACUUCAAGACUUAUUGGCAAAUUGCAGAAUCCUAUUCAUCGAGCCUUGGAUUUGAAAAUCUCAGUACGUCGAGGUGGAUGGCCAACACUGAACUGAUCCUAACUGAUCAAGGCAGGUCGCUCAUUACAAGUUCAGUUCCAAUUUUGUGUUAAGCUUUCGGGUUCCAUUCAACUUGGUUUUCCACCAUAUUUUGAGACUCAGAGACUGAUCAAGUCCCCAAGCAAGGAUGUACGAUCAUGUUUGUUUAGAUCAUGCUUUGGAAUGUGUUUAGAUAAGGUAUUAAUUUCAUGCAUAAUAUAUGUGGGAUCCCCACGUCUGUCUCGCAUGAAUCCCUUUCCCCGUCUAGACUACAGAUGGCCAAAAUGUUAUGGGGACAUCAUUCAAGCAAUGAAUACUGGCAGUAAAUACUGAACCAA